rnacentral:rRNA from 1 species
GACGAACGCUGGCGGCGUGCCUAACACAUGCAAGUCGAGCGAUGAAGCCCUUCGGGGUGGAUUAGCGGCGGACGGGUGAGUAACACGUGGGUAACCUGCCUCAAAGUGGGGGAUAGCCUUCCGAAAGGAAGAUUAAUACCGCAUAAAAUGCUUUAAUCGCAUGGUUGAAGCAUCAAACGAGUAAUCGGCUUUGAGAUGGACCCGCGGCGCAUUAGCUAGUUGGUGAGGUAACGGCUCACCAAGGCGACGAUGCGUAGCCGACCUGAGAGGGUGAUCGGCCACAUUGGAACUGAGACACGGUCCAGACUCCUACGGGAGGCAGCAGUGGGGAAUAUUGCGCAAUGGGCGAAAGCCUGAUGCAGCAACGCCGCGUGAGUGAUGAAGGUCUUCGGAUUGUAAAGCUCUGUCUUUUGGGACGAUAAUGACGGUACCAAAGGAGGAAGCCACGGCUAACUACGUGCCAGCCGCCGCAGUAA